UAAUAAAGAGAGGUCUGGUUUCGUAACAAUUUUUAGAAAAGAUUUACCAAAUUCAUCAACGUAAUCUUUCUGCUUUACAUCUGACUACAAUGAUUAUUUUUAUUGGCAUUUAGCACCAACAAUGGCAAAAAAUUGGCUUUACGUAAAUCAUUCAUUUAGAGAAACAACUUUAAGUUGACUUGAUAUGAAAAAGAAAGGAAUAAACCUUGUUUUUGUGUAUUUGGAUUGAUUUUUUUAUAUUUUACGAAAUAU